rnacentral:rRNA from 1 species
GUGAGGAAUAUUGGGCAAUGGGCGAAAGCCUGACCCAGCCACGCCGCGUGAGUGAUGAAGGCCUUCGGGUUAUAAAGCUCUGUGGGGAGGGAAGAAAAAGCGUAGGAGUAACUGCCUGUGUGUUGACGGUACCUCCUUAGCAAGCACCGGCUAACUCUGUGCCAGCAGCCGCGGUAAUACAGAGGGUGCAAACGUUGCUCGGAAUUACUGGGCGUAAAGCGCGUGUAGGCUGACAUGCAAGUCGGGUGUGAAAUCCCAGGGCUCAACCUUGGAACUGCACUCGAAACUGCACGGCUUGAGUACUGGAGAGGGAAGCGGAAUUCCGGGUGUAGAGGUGAAAUUCGUAGAUAUCCGGAGGAACACCAGUGGCGAAGGCGGCUUCCUGGACAGUAACUGACGCUGAGACGCGAAAGCGUGGGGAGCAAACAGGAUUAGAAACCCUGGUAGUCC